rnacentral:rRNA from 1 species
CCUACGGGAGACUGCAGUGAGGAAUAUUGGUCAAUGGCCGGAAGGCUGAACCAGCCAAGCCGCGUGAAGGACGAAGGUGCCAAGCAUUGUAAACUUCUUUUGUCAAGGGACAAAAUCAGGCACGAGAGCCUGACCGAGGGUAUUUGAAGAAACAGCAUCGGCAAACACCGUGCAAGCAGCCGCGGUAAUACGGAGGAUGCGAGCGUUAUCCGGUGUUAUUGGGGUAAAAGGGCGCGUAGGCGGACUGUUAAGUCAGCGGUAAAAGCCCGGGGCCCAACCCCGGCGAGCCGUUGAAACUGGCUGUCUUGAGAUGUCGAGAGGUAUGCGGAAUGCGCAGUGUAGCGGUGAAAUGCUUAGAGAUCAUACAGAACACCGAUUGCGAAGGCAGCUUACCAAGCUACUUCUGACGUUGAGGCACGAAGGCGUGGGGAGCAAACAGGAUUAGAUACCCGGGUAGUC